AGUGAGGAUUGGUCCCUUUACUAAUGUGUUACCAAAAUAAUAUUUGUGAAAAUCUUAAAUCAAAUAUACUAUAAUAUGGUUUUGUUGGCAGCUCAGUCUGUUGUGAAUCCUGCCCACUUCUUUGCAUGUUCAGCACAUGCUUCAGUGCUCUGAGAGUGUUUAUAGAGCUGUGAGUUUAACACUUCAUGACUGAGAGCAGAACAGAACACAAUCUUCAUCAUCACACAAGACACAACAACAACAAUGAACAACAUCAUCAUCCUCAUCUGGACUCUGACGCUCUGGAUACAGGAGAUCUGGGGACAAGUGACUGUGACUCAGAAUCCAGAAAUAAAACCCAUCAAACAAGGAGAAACUGUUACGAUCAGCUGUAAAACCAGUCAGCCGAUUUCUGACUGUAGUGACUGUGUGUCUUGGUAUCAGCAGAAACCUGGAGAAGCUCCUAAACUCCUCAUAUAUUACACAAGAAGCCUCCAGUCAGGAACUCCAUCUAGAUUCAGUGGCAGUGGAUCAAACUAUGGAAGUGAUUUCACUCUGACCAUCAGUGGAGUCCAGACUGAAGAUACAGGAGAUUAUUACUGUAUGAGUCUACACUACAUCAGUAGUAGCUAUGUGUUCACACAGUGAUAAAGAGUCGUACAAAAACCUCCGUCAGUCAGAGUCACAGUGACUGCACUGAUACAGCUGAGAGACACUGCAGCUGCUGAUGAGAGGCAGGUGGUAAACAAUUCAAUGACAAUAAUGUUAAAUUACACAUUUUCUAAUAGCAUGAAAUAUUAAUAAUAAUAUUAUUAUUAACUUAUUUAACUAAAUAGUUCAAACAUAGUUGUUGUAUGUCUUGUAGUUUAUUUUAUUUUAAAUAACCGUUAGUGCUCAGUCAGUUCAGUAUGUGUGUCUCUCCUCUUGUGUUUCAGAUCAGAGAAUGAGGAUGGAGUGGAAAUUUCUGUGGCUUCAUGUCUAUGAUUGAAUCUUUGCUGAUAUUCAGUACAGCUUCACUUUUUGUCACGUGAUAUUGUUUAAAUGUAGCAGAAUGAAAGAAAACAACAAAACAUUUUCAAGCCUAAAACAACUUCAGCAUGGACAUUCACUCUAAACUUUGAAUGUAAAAAAAUAAAAAAUAAAAUCAAAACACAAAACAAAUAAUGUAACUAAUAACAAUAAAGAUUAAUGAUAAUUUGCAUUAAUACAAAUGUAAAUAUAUAAAAAAAUUAUUUAAAAAAAACGUUAAAAAUCCUACAUUUUCCCAAGAUAUUUACUGAUUUGGGAUGUUUUAGCUGCACACUCUUGUAUAAUUAACUCCAUUUGCAGGUAUUUUCAUGCUUCAUUUUGAGGAAUCAAAGCAAUAAAGAUGACUGGAUGAACUAAAUGUAUCAAAAUGUGCAGCACACAACAGAUCACACUCUCUGAAAUACUGUAUUCCUGUAGUAUGAAAAUAUACUAUACUAUAUAUAUAUCAUUGUUGUCUAAUAAACACUGUUUCACAUGUGA